rnacentral:rRNA from 1 species
GAGAUAUUAACUGUUUCAUUUAAAUUUUUUAUAGAAUUUUAUUUUUUAGUCAAAAAGCUAAAAUAUAUUUAAAAGACGAGAAGACCCUAUAAAUCUUUAUAUUUUAUUUAUUUUAAUUAUAAAGAUUAUUUUUGUUAUAAUAAAUAAAAAUAUUUUAUUGGGGUGAUAUUAAAAUUUAAAAAACUUUUAAUUUUAAAAUCCAUUAAUUUAUGAAUAAUUGAUCCAUUAAUAAUGAUUAAAAAUUUAAGUUACUUUAGGGAUAACAGCGUAAUUUUUUUGGAGAGUUCAUAUCGAUAAAAAAGAUUGCGACCUCGAUGUUGGAUUAAGAUAUAAUUUUGGGUGUAGCCGUUCAAAUUUUAAGUCUGUUCGACUUUUAAAUUCUU